rnacentral:rRNA from 1 species
UACAGAGGUGGCAAGCGUUGUUCGGAAUUACUGGGCGUAAAGGGCGCGUAGGCGGUCCGAUAAGUCCCGUGUGAAAGCCCCCGGCUCAACUGGGGAACUGCACGGGAAACUGACGGACUUGAGUUCGGGAGAGGGAAGCGGAAUUCCGGGUGUAGCGGUGAAAUGCGUAGAUAUCCGGAGGAAUACCGGUGGCGAAGGCGGCUUCCUGGACCGACACUGACGCUGAGGCGCGAAAGCUAGGGGAGCAAACGGG